UAUCGGUUUGAACCCUCCACAGGUUGUUGCAUGUUAUGGCACAACGGCCAGUGACCCAAGUUUUAUGCUAACUGAAUCGAUUAUAAAAUUGAGAUAGCACAUACCAACAUCUUAGUCCAUAGUAGUCUCUGUGGGUGGAAGUCGUUCCUUCUCCACUGUUUUGAUGUAAUCUUGUACCUCGGCUGGAGUAAGGAAAGUUACGGUCCCACCCCCGUCGAGGAAAAGCUUCAUCUUGGCCGGGUAUUGUAAUCCAAACUCGAUGCCAAGGUUAUGAAGUUGGGCCUUCACCCAGUCAAACUUUCGUCACUUCUCUUGGACCUCCGGAGGUAGAUCGGGGAAGAACAUCAAUCGAUUGCCUUCGAGUUGCAGCGGCUUCUUCUUCUGGGCGGCUGUCAUCACUCGCUCUUUAUCGGUCAUCCAACGGAAUUUGAUGAGGAUUGUGCGGGGCGAAUGAGCGCAUCUUCUUGUUGUCUUUGCAGAAAGUGGAAGUCUGAAGGCUUCAUCAAUGGAUAGGGGAUCCGGAAACUUCAGGACAUUCGGCUCCAUUGUCUUGAAAGUGGAAGUCUGAAGGCUUCAUCAAUGGAUAGGGGAUCCGGAAACUUCAGGACAUUCGGCUCCAUUGUCUUGCUUACCUGUUUACCGACCUAAGCCUGGACCUGUUUCUGAGUUUUCUGCCUGUUUUUGGACUGCCUCUCUGUGUACCGGUUUGUGGAUUCCCGUUUUGACCAUUGAGACUGUCUGUUCCUGCACUAACCAGUUCUGUUUAUUAAAACCUGGUUAUUCCACGUACCUCGCUUUGUUUGGCUGAAUACUGGGUCCAUCUGUCCCUGAUUCAUGACAAAUUUAAAUAAUUAGAGAGUUCACUGAUUUAUAUUAACCAUACUCAAUAUGGAAGGACAA